AAGCGACCUAUUCCCUGCCACAUGAUCCUGGGGGCAGAUGGAUAGCUGAUCUCUGAGUGACUACAGUGAACAAAGAAAGAAAGACUCCUGCCAAACCUUGUGGACAGGAAAAGAAGAGAAACCUGGAAGAAAAUUUUCCUGGAAAGAAAGAGAGCAUUGUUCAGCAGCAAGAACACUGACCAUGAGAACAAUUCUUCUACUCAGAAGCCACCUGACCUUGGGCCUGUCACUCAGGUUUUCUGAGCCACAGUUCCCUGACCACUCGUCUUGCUUAUUUUAUAGGGGCUUUAGUUUCUUUACUGAUAAAAUUGCUGUGCUUUGUAAUAAUAACACCUAUGUAAGAAUCAAAUUAGUUAAAUAUGGAAAUAUGCAUAAUUGUAAAGUAUCAUACCCAGUUUCUGGAACCUAGCUGAUAUUUUAUUAGUGAAUAGAAGGAGAAAAGCUUGUCCCAUUGAUGCUCAGUAAUACAAAACAUUUAAAGAAUAAAUUCAAAAUCUUGGCUAUAAUAGAAUUUUUUAAAGUGUUAUUAUCCUUCAAUGUUUGAGUUUGUAAGUGAAAAGUCACAUUAGGAAUCAGCUUUGAUUAAAACAAAGGAAUAACUCUUAUAGCAAGUAAACCAUUUGUAUGAUAAUAAUCCAUUGGAUAUAUAAUAAAGUUCAAAUUCUCCAGCCAGGCUUUUACCUCUAUCUACUGCUACACUAUCUACCUCUCCUCAACUUUACUUUCUCAUUUGUUUUGCAAUUUAGAUUGUAAAAGUGUGUUC
rnacentral:lncRNA from 1 species